GGGCUGGCAUCGCCAGGAGGAAGUCUUAAGGACUUUUCAGUGCCAGGAAUUGCUGAUUUUCAUGAACCCAAGUGGCCAGGGCUAGAUGACGUCUAGACAUCUGUGCUUGUCAUAUGACCUGACAGUUGGCACCAGAACAGUGCCCCGGGGGAAGAAAGGAGGAACUUAGCAAGGGCCUGCUCAUUGGUGGGCUUUGAAAAGGCCAGCCAGAGGUCUAGGAGGUGGAUUCUGAGAAGCUGUCAGCUUGGGGCUCCUGCAUCCUGUACUGCCAUGUCUAACAUCACAAAAAUGAAUAGGAUUGGGCUUAUUCAACCUGGAAAGGGUAUGUACCAAUGUGCUGGAGCUGGCUUUCACUGGCUCUUCCCAACUCAGUAUUCAAUGACUUCACACUGCCAGCUUGAGAUGAGCCAUGAUGGGAAUGUCAGCACCACAGAAGUCAGCAGGUGCCGCAGAUGCCCUCCUUUAAGCAGAUCACUCAGCAUUUUCCAGUACACCCUGUACACAACACUAUUUCAGAUCAUCUUAUGUAUUUGUCAGCUUACCGAUCUGCUGUAUGUCUCCUCUACAUGAAGUUUCAUGAGGGCAGGGUCUAUGGCUUGUCAUUUUUGCCACUGUAUCCCUGGUUCCUAGAACAAUGCUUGUUGUAUAGUAGGUAUCCAAUACAUGCUGCUUGAAUGAAUAAAAGUCUGAGGGAAACACUGGAAACACAAGAGAGGAAACUGUUACCUUUGUACCUGAAUACGGAAUAUUUGAGCUGAGGCUUCAACCAUAAAAAAGAGUUUGCUAAGGAGCCAAGGGAGAAAGGACUUCCCAGGCAGAGGGAAUAAAAUGGAGGCAUGAAAGA
rnacentral:lncRNA from 10 species